rnacentral:rRNA from 1 species
UCCCGUUGAUCCUGCGGGAGGUUGCUGCUAUUGGAAUUCGAUUAAGCCAUGCAAGUCUUCUCGCAAGAGGGGCAAAAUGCUCAGUAACACGUCGUUAAUCUGCCCUUAGGUCAAGGAUAUCCUCGGAAAACUGAGGUUAAAACUUGAUAGGAGAUUAUAUCUGGAAUGAUUUAUCUCCCAAACUCGCGCCUAAGGAUGAGACGGCGCCGGAUUAGGCUGUUGGCGGGGUAAUGGCCCACCAAACCGACGAUCCGUACGGGCCUUGAGAGAGGUAGCCCGGAGAAGGACACUGAGAUACUGGUCCUAGCCCUACGGGGUGCAGCAGGCGCGUAACCUUUACAAUGCACGCAAGUGUGAUAAGGGAAUUCCAAGUGCUAAUGCUUUGCAUUGGCUUUUGCCAAGAGUAAACACCUUGGCGAAUAAGUGGUGGGCAAGACUGGUGCCAGCCGCCGCGGUAACACCAGCGCCACGAGUGGCAAUCGCGUUUAUUGGGCCUAAAGCGUCCGUAGCCGGUUUAGCAAAUUUUUUGUGAAAUCGUCAGGCUUAACUUGACGGAUUGCAGAAAACACUACUAAACUAGGGACCGGGAGGAGUCAGAAGUAUUCUGAGGGGACCGGUAAAAUGGUAUAAUCCUCAGAGGACUACCGAUGGCGAAGGCAUCUGACUAGAACGGAUCCGACGGUGAGGGACGAAAGCCAGGGGAGCGAACCGGAUUAGAUACCCGAGUAGUCCUGGCCGUAAACGCUGCGAGCUAGGUGUUGCACAAGCUACGGGCUUGUGCAGUGUCGAAAGGAAGCUGUUAAGCUCGCCGCCUGGGAAGUACGGUCGCAAGACUGAAACUUUAAGGAAUUGGCGGGGGAGCACCACAAGGGGUGCGGCGUGCGGUUUAAUCUAACUCAACGCAGAGAAUCUCACUAGGGGCGACGGCAGGAUGAAGGUCAGUCUGAAGGGCUUACCUGACGAGCCGAGAGGUAGUGCAUGGCCGUCGUCAGCUCGUGCUGUGAAGUGUCCUCUUAAGUGAGGCAACGAGCGAGACCUGUAUCUACAAUUGCUAACAGCUGCUUGCAGGACUGAGCACAUUGUAGAGACUGCCCUGGAAACAGGGAGGAAGGUGCAGGCUACGGUAGGUCUGUAUGCUCCGAAUCUCCUAGGCUACACGCGCGCAACAAUGGUAGAGACAAAGGGAUGCAACUCCGAAAGGAGAAGCUAAACCUCUAAACCCUAUCCCAGUCCAGAUUGAGGAUUGUAACUCAUCCUCAUGACGACGGAAUCCCUAGUAAUCAGAGUUCAUCAUACUCUGGUGAAUAUGUCCCUGCUCCUUGCACACACCGCCCGUCAAGCCAACCGAGCAGGGUUUUGGUAAAAUUCAGUUUUUUUGAUUGGAUUGAAUCUAAGCUCAGUGAGGUGGGCUAAGUCGUCACAAGGUAACCGUA